UACGAAGGGGGCUAGCGUUGUUCGGAAUUACUGGGCGUAAAGCGCGUGUAGGCGGUUGUUCAAGUCAGGUGUGAAAGCCUUGAGCUCAACUCAAGAAAUGCACUUGAUACUGGAUGACUAGAGGACCGGAGAGGAUAGUGGAAUUCCCAGUGUAGUGGUGAAAUACGUAGAGAUUGGGAAGAACACCAGUGGCGAAGGCGGCUCACUGGUCCGGUACUGACGCUGAGGUGCGAAAGCGUGGGGAGCAAACAGG
rnacentral:rRNA from 1 species